UUAUCUUUUUUCACCAUAGAUUAUCUCAUGUCAUUAUUUUAAAUUAAGACCUGCACUUUACGAGGAAUUUUUGGCAAGCCUUAUUCAAGCUACUAGAUACACGACUUGUUAUAUCUAUGACCUUUCAUCUUCAAAUAGAUGGAUAAAUAGAAUAUGUAAAUUGGAUCCUAGAAGAUAUGCUACAAGCAUUUAUGGCAAUUCACCAUAAU
rnacentral:lncRNA from 1 species